rnacentral:rRNA from 1 species
AAAGGCCCUUCGGGGUACUCGAGUGGCGAACGGGUGAGUAACACGUGGGUGAUCUGCCCUGCACUUUGGGAUAAGCCUGGGAAACUGGGUCUAAUACCGAAUAGGACCACGCGCAUCAUGGUGUGUGGUGGAAAGCUUUUGCGGUGUGGGAUGGGCCCGCGGCCUAUCAGCUUGUUGGUGGGGUAAUGGCCUACCAAGGCGACGACGGGUAGCCGGCCUGAGAGGGUGACCGGCCACACUGGGACUGAGAUACGGCCCAGACUCCUACGGGAGGCAGCAGUGGGGAAUAUUGCACAAUGGGCGCAAGCCUGAUGCAGCGACGCCGCGUGAGGGAUGACGGCCUUCGGGUUGUAAACCUCUUUCAAUAGGGACGAAGCGUAAGUGACGGUACCUAUAGAAGAAGCACCGGCCAACUACGUGCCAGCAGCCGCGGUAAUACGUAGGGUGCGAGCGUUGUCCGGAAUUACUGGGCGUAAAGAGCUCGUAGGUGGUUUGUCGCGUUGUUCGUGAAAACUCACAGCUUAACUGUGGGCGUGCGGGCGAUACGGGCAGACUAGAGUACUGCAGGGGAGACUGGAAUUCCUGGUGUAGCGGUGGAAUGCGCAGAUAUCAGGAGGAACACCGGUGGCGAAGGCGGGUCUCUGGGCAGUAACUGACGCUGAGGAGCGAAAGCGUGGGGAGCGAACAGGAUUAGAUACCCUGGUAGUCCACGCCGUAAACGGUGGGUACUAGGUGUGGGUUCCUUCCUUGGGAUCCGUGCCGUAGCUAACGCAUUAAGUACCCCGCCUGGGGAGUACGGCCGCAAGGCUAAAACUCAAAGGAAUUGACGGGGGCCCGCACAAGCGGCGGAGCAUGUGGAUUAAUUCGAUGCAACGCGAAGAACCUUACCUGGGUUUGACAUGCACAGGACGCCGGCAGAGAUGUCGGUUCCCUUGUGGCCUGUGUGCAGGUGGUGCAUGGCUGUCGUCA